CUCCGUAGGGAUCUGCUUCUCUGCUGGUGGAAAGAGAAGCUUCCCUAGGCAUCUCUCUCACACUCGACGCUACCGGGGCGGUUCUGGGACGGCUCCUCAGGCCGCUGCCCGCCCUCUUUUCUCCGAACGUCAGUCAUUUCCUCGAAAUCAAUCCAGGCACGCAGCUGCCCAUUAAAGUUAAUUAAGCACGCGCCCGAGACACCGACAAGAGCGUGCGCCCCGGGCAGAGCCCAGAAUGCCUCCCGGGAAGCCCCUUCCGGAAGCUCCGGCCCAGGGGGGUCACAGUCCGAUUCCGAGGGACCCAGCUGCCCACCGCUGACCUCUCCCGCCCGCCCCCACCCCGAAAUCUCCGCAAUCCUGGGAGACAGCUGCAGCCCCAGCGAGCGAGCCGAGCCCCGCGCAGCCCAGAGCAGGUGCACCUGCAGAGCCUGGCGUUGGCUUUGCGUCGAUUAAACACCUCCUCUUCGCACAAACCCCGGCGCCCCUCGUCCACUGUCUGGACCCAAGGACCCCCUCUCGGGUCGAGGAGGGGCGGACGGCAGCUCGGAACCCACAAGCCUGAGAGUGUCCGCUCGCCCGCAGAAGGCAGCCGCCACCUGCUCUCCAAGGUCCCGCUCCAGCCCCUCCGUCGCGGGUCCCUUACCUUGUGGCCUUUCCCCGGGGGACACCUGACGUUAUUGGAGGCUCCUGCUGUCUGAUUCAUGUCCGGAGGAAGUUGGGGACCGAUUCUCUACCUUCGAAACUUCCUUGGCGCGUGGAGGGUGACAAAGGUGCGCGUCUCCCGGAGGCGAGGUGGGUCCUCCCGCUCCAGCCAAGCCCCGGCGACGUCUCCCCGCGACAGGUUUCCGCGGGGCCCCUGGUCCAGGGAUGCUUAGCCCUGCAGCCCGAGCCGGAGAAAGAGAAGCAGCUGCUGGGACCCCGGAGGGAGCCGGGCCGGCGCCGGCGGCUCCGAGGGCGCUCUGCCCAGGGCUGCCUUCCCGGGAAACAGUCCAGGACUCUCAAGACCAGAAGCGCGAGCAAAUCCGAAAAGAGCUCCGAGGAGGGGCGAGGAGGCAGAAGGCCCAAAUACAGUAAAUCAAGAAAAUGCUGAGAGUAUCUUGUGUCUGGUAAGUAAUGAAGUUCAUCUUUUUUGCUCUUGAGAAUUUAUUGAUGCUCGUGAGUUGAGUAGGCAAUCUCUCAAUGUAACGCUACGGCUGUUGGAAAGAAAAUGGUAUCUUAACCAUGUUGGCUAUAGAUAGAACUGCUGACCUGUUAAAUAUAAAAAGUACAAAGGGAUAAAAAAAAAAUCGUCUUAUUCUAAAACACUGAACACACAGAAUGUUCUCGCAAACUUCCAAGAGAAGAAACCACCUGCAAAACAUGGACCAAUUUACUGUCCAUGCGUUUCUCCGUAAAAAUCGUUUGCUGUUCACCGAAGGUUCAGUUUGAUCCUUGGUUGAAAUGAGCAAGGGACUAUUGAUCAACCUUGUAGGUAUGUUUUAGGCUCUUGUAGAAUCUUAUGUGAUUAAACCAUUCAUUGUAUUUAAUCUUCAGCAGGAAACUCUGUGUUUCAUUCACUCAAGGCUCUAGCAGAGCAAAAACACGAUUCAUGAAUGAUUGUCUGUACACGCCAGCACCUCAGGGAUUAACUGUUGGUUCGCUCAGGCUGUCCACUUGCACGGAAUGAGUAGAUCACUGUAGGGAGUCAGGUUGGUGCUGAUGACAGUGGGUGAGGAACGUGGCAACAUGUCCUUUAUCGCUGCGAAGGGCAAACGGGCAAAGGUGCCAUAUCAUACUCUGCAUAAAAACAACCUCUCUGGAUCAGCUCUGUGUAAAACAGAAGGACCCAAAUGUGUCCAGGUUGAGGAAUAAGACCUUAUCUAGUAAAAGCCAAAGCAAUCAUAGGUUCAUCUGUAAAAUACAGAGGUAAGAGAGGGACUGUUGAAAACGGCCGAACAAACACCUGAGCAUUUCUCACGUCUAAAGCGGAAUCUCUGGCCCAGCAACACAGCCUCUGCCCUGCAAUAUGGGCUCCAGCUCUGCAUCAUUAUUUUUUGUUUGUAUUAUGUUGGUUGAUUGCACAUGUUUGUUGGUUGAUUGCACCUGUUCAU
ensembl:lncRNA